rnacentral:rRNA from 1 species
UUCAGAGAUAAGGAUGUGCCUUCGGGAACCGUGAGACAGGUGCUGCAUGGCUGUCGUCAGCUCGUGUUGUGAAAUGUUGGGUUAAGUCCCGCAACGAGCGCAACCCUUAUCCUUUGUUGCCAGCGGUCCGGCCGGGAACUCAAAGGAGACUGCCAGUGAUAAACUGGAGGAGGUGGGGAUGACGUCAAGUCAUCAUGGCCCUUACGACCAGGGCUACACACGUGCUACAAUGGCGCAUACAAAGAGAAGCGACCUCGCGAGAGCAAGCGGACCUCAUAAAGUGCGUCGUAGUCCGGAUUGGAGUCUGCAACUCGACUCCAUGAAGUCGGAAUCGCUAGUAAUCGUGGAUCAGAAUGCCACGGUGAAUACGUUCCCGGGCCUUGUACACACCG